rnacentral:rRNA from 1 species
UGGUGGAGGCCUAACACAUGCAAGUCGAACGGUAACAGGAUGUGCUUGACAUCGCUGACGAGUGGCGGACGGGUGAGUAAUGCUUGGGAACUUGCCUUUGUGAGGGGGAUAACAGUUGGAAACGACUGCUAAUACCGCAUAAUGUCUUCGGACCAAACGGGGCUUAGGCUCCGGCGCAGAGAGAGGCCCAAGUGAGAUUAGCUAGUUGGUAAGGUAAAGGCUUACCAAGGCGACGAUCUCUAGCUGUUCUGAGAGGAAGAUCAGCCACACUGGGACUGAGACACGGCCCAGACUCCUACGGGAGGCAGCAGUGGGGAAUCUUGGACAAUGGGCGCAAGCCUGAUCCAGCCAUGCCGCGUGAGUGAUGAAGGCCUUAGGGUCGUAAAGCUCUUUCGCCAGAGAUGAUAAUGACAGUAUCUGGUAAAGAAACCCCGGCUAACUCCGUGCCAGCAGCCGCGGUAAUACGGAGGGGGUUAGCGUUGUUCGGAAUUACUGGGCGUAAAGCGCGCGUAGGCGGAUUAGUAAGUUAGAGGUGAAAUCCCGGGGCUCAACCCCGGAACUGCCUUUAAUACUGCUAGUCUUGAGUUCGAGAGAGGUGAGUGGAAUUCCGAGUGUAGAGGUGAAAUUCGUAGAUAUUCGGAGGAACACCAGUGGCGAAGGAGCGUCACUGACUCGAUACUGACGCUGAGGUGCGAAAGUGUGGCUGCAAACCUUGAUUACAUACCCAUGUUGUCCACACUCGUAGCGAUGACUGCAAGUCGUCAGGUAAGCCGCGGAUCGGCGACACACCUAGCGGAUUAAUCAUUCGCUCUUGCGACUGAUGUCCCAAGAUAAAGAGUCAAAGACAGAACAUAACCCAGGUUCUCCAAAUCGCAACGAUAGAGCGACACUCGGCAACAU